UACAGAGGUCUCAAGCGUUGUUCGGAUUCAUUGGGCGUAAAGGGUGCGUAGGUGGCGCCAUAAGUCGGGUGUGAAAUUUCGGAGCUUAACUCCGAAACUGCAUUCGAUACUGUAGUGCUUGAGGACUGGAGAGGAGACUGGAAUUUACGGUGUAGCAGUGAAAUGCGUAGAGAUCGGAAGGAAGACCAGUGGCGAAGGCGGGUCUCUGGACAGUUCCUGACACUGAGGCACGAAGGCCAGGGGAGCAAACGGG
rnacentral:rRNA from 1 species